rnacentral:lncRNA from 13 species
GGCUGGAAGGAGGGCAAGAGCCCUCAACCUGUUCUUGCUGGGAAGGAAAGAGCAGGUGAGGGUGGGAUACUGUUCCAAGCAUGGGAAACAGGCCACGGGAGGUGGCUAUGGCCCUGGGAGGCGGCUGCUCCAGCACACAGUCACUGAGCCGUCCCGUGUGCUCUGCGGCAGGUUCUGGGAGUCUAGGAAGUGCUGAGCAGAUGGAAUCCAUGCCCUCGGGGAGACGGGGACCAUCACCCACCCAGAGUGUGAAAAUUUGGAAAUAGGGAAAAGAGAAAGAAGAGGAAAAGAUGCCUGAAUAUACCUAGACAGGCCCUGUGAACAUGCUGCUGGCUCUCUUUCCACUCCUUCAUCUACACAGGUGGGUUUUUCUUUAUUUAAAAUGUUUGUUUAGCUAUAACUCACAUGCAGCAGAGUGCACAAAUCUGAAGUUAGUAGUUAAGUGUUAGACAUGUACACACUCUGCGCCCACCGCCUCUGUUAGGAUGGAGAGCAAUGCCAGUGCCCAGGGGCGCCGCGGGCCCUGCCCAGCCUCACUCACACUCUCUUCAGCAAACCCUGAUUCUCACUCUAUUCCAUAGGAUAGUUUGCUCUGUUCUUAAGCCUCAUAUAAAUGAACCAUGUUAUGUGUGGUUUUUGUG